rnacentral:piRNA from 1 species
UAGCAUACGUCGAAGGAAUCAAGUCUUAC